rnacentral:lncRNA from 1 species
AUAUAGAGAGAGAGAGAGAGAGAGAAAGAGAGAGAGAGAGCAAGGCUGUUGUUCUCUCAGGAGCACGAAGGCCUCCGUACUCCUUAGGCGUUUUCGAUGAUGGAAUUUUCGAAUUGACGAUCGGCUCCGUUAGACUUGAUCUAGCGCAUUUGAAGUUUCUAGAAAAUGAGUUUUGUUAUUUUUUGAUAUCAUUUACCUAGUGAUCGAAAUGAUUCAAAAUCCAUAAUUUUUAAUAGUUGAUAUCUGCCGUUUUCAAGUUUAACGGUGUAGAAGUAUUCAAAUGAGAUAAAAUUUUGAUACAAAAUUCUUUAUACUAUCUACAACAAGUUCAAUAUUUUUGAUCGAAAAUUUUAGUGCUAUAUUACCACUUUUUAUAGGAUUUUUAUUUUCAACCGUUAAAAAUUAUUGAUUUUGAAUACUUUCGAUUGCUAGGUAAAUGGUAUCGAAAAAUCACAAAAAUUAUUUUCUAGAAAUUUCAAAUACGCUAGAUCAAGUCUAACGGAGCCGAUCGUCGAUUCGAAAAUUUCAUCAUUGAAAAUGGCUCAGGAGCACGGAGGCCUCCGUGCUCCUAAGAGCACAGCAGCCCUGCUCUCUCUCUCUCUAUAUAUAUAUAUAUAUAUAUAUAUAUAUAUAUAUAUAUAUAUAUAUAUGCUGGGGCUACUAUACUCUUAUGAGUAUAAAACCCCUUGUACUAAUAAAUUUUUAACCGUUGAUUGAUGGGUUGUGUGGUUAGGAUGAUGGUGGUCCCCACUUAGAAUGAUAGUGGUCCCCUAGGGUUGAGUGGGUA